rnacentral:lncRNA from 1 species
CGGUAAUGCUGCAAUCAGUUGAUUGUAAUUUUGGAUUGAGCAAACAUUCCCAUUUACAUUGCCCUCCAUAAUUAUUGGGACAGUGAAGAUUUUUUUUGUCUUUGGCUCUAUACUUCAUAAGUUUGGAUUUUAAAUUAAACAACGACCAUAUGAGGUUAAAGUGCAGAUUGUCAGAUUUAAUUUGAGGGUAUUUUCAUCCAUAUCGGUUGAAGAGUUUCGAAAUUACGGCACUUCUUGUACGUAGUGAUGAAUUGUGAAAUGAUGAUGAGUGAGAAAGUUACAGAUGCACAAAUAUCAUACCCCUCCCCAAAAAAUGCUAACCUCCCCUGUUAUUGUAUUGGUGAGAGGUUAGCAUGUCUUGGGGGUAUGAUAUAAAAUGCUAACCUCCCCUGUUAUUGUAAUGGUGAGAGGUUAGCAUGUCUUGGGGGUAUGAUAUAAAAUGCUAACCUCCCCUGUUAUUGUAUUGGUGAGAGGUUAGCAUGUCUUGGGGGUAUGAUAUAAAAUGCUAACCUCCCCUGUUAUUGUAAUGGUGAGGGGUUAGCAUGUCUUGGUGGUAUGAUAUAAAAUGCUAACCUCCCCUGUUAUUGUAUUGGUGAGAGGUUAGCAUGUCUUGGGGGUAUGAUAUAAAAUGCUAACCUCCCCUGUUAUUGUAUUGGUGAGAGGUUAGCAUGUCUUGGGGGUAUGAUAUAAAAUGCUAACCUCCCCUGUUAUUGUAAUGGUGAGAGGUUAGCAUGUCUUGGGGGUAUGAUAUAAAAUGCUAACCUCCCCUGUUAUUGUAUUGGUGAGAGGUUAGCAUGUCUUGGGGGUAUGAUAUAAAAUGCUAAUCUCCCCUGUUGUUGUAUUGGUGAGAGGUUAGCAUGUCUUGGGGGUAUGAUAUAAAAUGCUUACCUCCCCUGUUAUUGUAUUGGUGAGAGGUUAGCAUGUCUUGGGGGUAUGAUGAUCAUUCUUAGUAAUCUACUGGAGAACCAGUUCGGGUUUAAGUAUGCUUCUGUAUGAGUGAAGCUUUUAGUGAGAGGUUUAAUACUUUAAUAUACUUUAAUAAUUUCAGCCCUCAGAAUUUGUAUUCAUGAUAUAAGUAGGCAUGUUUAAUUUUGUCUGGUUUAGAG